UUUCUUUCCAGUUUUAUUAAAUCAUCAAAACUAUUUUUAUCAUCAAAUAGCUGUUCUGUGCUUUGUUCUUGAAAUAAAUAUUUAACAUUAUCUGCUUUGGGGAUGACAGAAAAACUCAACCUUGAAAUAAAACAAAUAUUUAAUGUAGUAAUCACAUUUCAAUAAGCAAGAUUUUGAAUAGCAACAUAUGUUGCUCUGUUCAGGCAUUUUGCUGGGAUGUUUUGUUUUGUUUGCAAUUUAAAUGCUUGUGGUUGCAAUCUGCAGAAUAAUAAUUGAGGGAAAUGGCAAAAGAUACUUGGUAACCAUGAGGAAUAGGUUCCUAUUCUACAAAGCUCUAGAAUAGCUGUGUAAAUGAUCCGUAGUGGAAAAUGCGGGUGGUUUAUUAAAAGAUCAAUUAAAAGACAUUUUCUCUCGAGUCUGCAGUCUUGGGCUAUGUGGUAUUGUGAUGCUUACUUUAAGAUGAGACAUUUUUCUCAACAAUUUACCUUUGUUAUAAGUUAAAAUAACUGUUGUUUAGAUCUUUACAUACACAUUAAAUGUGAUUUUUCUUUUCCUUGUGCAAUACUUUGUAAUAGCAUCUCCAUUCCUGUAGCAAAUUUCAAGAUCUUAAUAAUUUUACAAUACCUGAUUAGCAAACUAGAAUAAUACCAGUUGUUUUCAGAUGAACAUGUGCUACCACAGUUCUUGGGGAACAGUUCUGUGAAUAAUAUACAUAUAUAUUCUGAAUACUCCCCAGAGAGUCAGUGUUCCUGAGUCAGGCAUAUAUCAUUCUUUUCAGAGAGAAGCUGAGAAGUGUAAGAGAUAAAAUAAAUUUAAAGACUACAAGUAAACUAGGUAUGUAUUGAAGGAGAUGAAAGAAAAAGAAAAAUACACUUUGUGUAUCAGAAAUUGUAUUUCAUUAGUUCUGCUCCCAAGUUCUCUUUUAUGCAUGUCAGGGUGAAUCUAACUGACUAGGGAAACUAGUACCAGAAUACCAGUGUCUUAACUGAUACUGCUUCUCAGCUUCCAUUAUUGAUAUACUUUAGGUUAAUAUGGUUGUGAAAAGAUGGUGAAGACGGCAGCCAACUAUACCCUCUAUGAUAUAAACAGUGCAGAAACACUGGAACAACAAUGGAGAGUAGGAACUGUUUCAUUCAUCCCAGGGAGGCACCAGUUCAGCUCCAAACGGAUAAUUUCAAUGUGUAAUUGAAGCUUUAUGAAAAAUUUAUGUUUGACAGAAGAAAAGAGAUGGAUUACCACAGUUGAACAUAAUUUACUUAAUUGGCCCAACUUGGUGGCUGUUGGGAAGUAUAACCAAUUCCAGCAGGGAGUCAAGCAGAAGGAGCCCAGGUGUUCCUCCAUAUGGUGCAUUCAUUCUAUUUUUAACAUCUCUUCAGUGUAAUAGGACAGGGCAUUAGUGCAACAAAAUUUGUUUUCAGGACUAAGCUACCAGCUUUAGUGUGAAGAAUCCAAGUAGCUAAAAGAAAAUUAUUUUAUUUUGUACAAUAAUAAUAAAUUAAAGAUAAAAUGGUCCAAACUCACAGAGGUUAUAAGGCAACCAAGACCUUAAGGAGGUGGAAUGGUCUUAUAUUGAGCUGCAUAAAUCACUAGUUUCUGAUGUUGUAUCAUGUGGUUAUUUUUAUCUUUACAAGGUUGUACUAGUUUUGUUGAACAGUUUCUAAUUCUUGUUCAGGGUGAGAUGGGAACCACCCAUCCUGUCCAUGCCCUGUCUCAGUGUUCUACUCCAUCACUCAGUGAUUUCUUUUACUAAGCUGAAGAGUCCUAUACUACCUUAUGUUUGUCAAAGGGAAAUGAUCACAUUUUCCAUCAUGGUUGCCCUCUGAAUCCUUUGAAAUUAUAAAAUGAGUCAUUAGGUUCUUUGACAGUUACUGUUUGUUUGUGCUUGGAUUUGAUAAAGCAUUCUGCAUUUAAGUUCUAUACGUAUAAAUUCUAGAAAUAUAAAUACAAUGGAAUCAUUUUAUAUAACCAGCACUUGUCUUAAAAUUCUUAUGACAUCACUGAAAUAUAGAGUAGCUUUAAUGCCACCUCCUGGACAAAGAUUUAAAUAGUAGUUUAGCCAGACUUAAUUUGAAGUAACUCUUUAAAAUCGGAACAAGUAACUUUCAACGUUUAAAAUGUUUAUAUUAAUCACUUUAGAUCCAAAUACUUUGAUUUAUUGUGUCAGUUAGGAUAAUGCUGACAUUUCAAAAUAUGUAUUUUGCCCUAUGUUCCAGUAUGAGAUAACAUAUGUUGUCUAUUUCAAAAGUGCAACAUUAACUGAAAAAUUUGAAACUGUUCAUUGAAUUCAAGGUUAAAUAUUCAGUCUUUAGGGCUUGCUACUUCUGGAAAAGCAUUAUGUGUAUAUAAAAUAAAGCAGAUGAAUCUUUAGUUUUGUUUUACUUUUAAGGAAAAAAUAUUUGUCUGUAAGCUCUUCUGAUAAUUUUGCCAUUCUGAGAUAUGCAUGUUAUGGUACUUCAUUGAAAGGGAUUGCUAUCAUGUAUUCCUUUUAAUAACAAGAAAACAAUUCUUAUUGUCACCCUACAGAGAUUUCUAGUAAUGGUUUUUAACUUGGAAAUAGGAAGGUAUGUACCAUUUGAAGGACAUGAAUAUUUUUUUAUUGGCCCCACAUUUCAGAAAUCAUUGUUUCAGCAACAGUCAAACUGACACGAUGUGUCCAGCAUAUGCUCAUGUUUUGCUAUCCUCUAGAUGUUAGUGUGGUUUGUAAUGGGAUCUUAACAAACAUCUCUGUCAGUUCUGCUCAGGGGAGUGGCUGGGUGAGGCAGUUCCUCUUCCAAGGCAGUUCUGUACUGAUGGGUUUUGCUCUGUUCAGGCAGGACAGAGGCUGCUUCCAGACAGACACAGCCAGUCCAGUCCCUGCCCCAGCAGUGUGGGAGCCACAGUGAUCAA